CCUACGUGAGACAGCAGUGAGGAAUAUUGGUCAAUGGCCGGAAGGCUGAACCAGCCAUGCCGCGUGAAGGUCAAUGCCCUAUGGGCGUUACACUUCUUUUGUGCGGGAGCAAUUAUGGUCACGUGUGGCCAGACGAGAGUACCGUACGAAUAAGCCUCGGCUAACUCCGUGCCAGCAGCCGCGGUACUACAGGAAAUGCAAGCGUUAUCCGGAUUUAUUGGGUUUAAAGGGUGCGUAGGCUGUGAGUUAAGUCAGAGGUGAAAUGCCCCCGCUCAACGGGGGGAAGUGCCAUUGAUACUGCCUUGCUGGAAUGCGGAUGCCGUGGGAGGAAUGUGUGGUGUAGCGGUGAAAUGCAUAGAUAUCACACAGAACACCGAUUGCGAAGGCAUCUCACGAAUCCGCGAUUGACGCUGAUGCACGAAAGCGUGGGUAUCAAACAGGAUUAGAUACCCGAGUAGUC
rnacentral:rRNA from 1 species